CCAAACCAAAUCUAAAGUUGACCAAAAUUGAUUUGCAACUCUUUUAGUACUAAUGUUGGGAGAGUGGUCUCUGGUCAAAGUGGUCCCUGGUCAAAAAAAGGUGGGGAACCACUGAGCUAGACAAAAGACAAGAAAAAUAGGGCUGAUCUUCCAUAAAGAGUUGGCAAAAAGGAACUUCUUUGUCAGAAGCUUUGUUUACUGAGCUGAAUGAGAAGGGACCAUUAAAGUGCAAAAAGACAAAACUCCUCUGUAGAAAACAUACAAGAUAGUCUCUGUUUAUACAUUGUCAGAUUUAAAGGCAGAAAACAGAGCUAACACAAAGAGAACAGCUAAAAAAUAAUACUUCUGAAGUGAUACAAUAACAAAACUGCCAAAACAGUUGAGACAAAACAAAAAUAUAUAUACAUAUAUGGGCAUCCUGUAGGAACUGUUUUUCUUGCAAACUCUUUUAACCAUUUCUAAUAUUGUUAAUCUGUUGUUUGGAUACAAUAAAUAGCUUUAAAAUGGUUGUUGAAAAUAAAGACUAUGUCUGAUUUCAAAGCAACUCCAAUAUUAAACAGCAGAUGGAUGCAUGACCUGAAAUUUCAAGAACAAUGAUAAAACACACUUCGGUUUGGAAUUUUCUUUUUCUCAUGCAUUUCGUAAAUGGAAAACCUGAUUAUUUAAUAUAUUUUUAAUGGGAAGCAUAAGGGUGAAUCAGAAGAAACAAAAAAUAAGUGUUCUUAUAAUCAAUGAAGACUACACGAAGCAAUCCAAGUCUGAAAGGUUUCAAUUUUAUUUCCAACAGGUGUUGCAGUCCACCGCAGUCUCAUUAGCACAGGAAAACUACCUUAUGGAGCAUGCCCAAGAAAGAAUUACCUGAAGCCUGCUAGGAAUUCCUUUUAAAUUAAAACAGAAUUUUAGAUUUCUGAGGUGAUUCGCUGGUCCUGAUUGUCUCUAGUCUGGAAGCAACUACUUUCAAAGGUGAUGACACAGCUCAUUGGAAACGGCAAUAAAGCUGGGAGAAUAGAAGGAGGACACUGAAAUCUUCUGGCAGAUGCCGACUCCAACUAGCCAGAACCUGACUAGCAACCGUCACCCAGAGGACCUUUUCAUCAGACACCCCAAGACUGAAGAAUGACCUACUGGAAGAGCCCUGACAGCCAAAUGAACUGUCGGAAUUUAAAACACAACUGAAGACCUAUCUCUUCUGGCAGGCCUACCUGGCCAAAUUUCAAUCAUGGAUUUUGAUUUGCAUUAUAUGGCUACAAUAUGUUA